GGUUCUUCCUCCCUCCUGCACUCCUGCCUGAUCUUCUAGCUCUAAACCCCUUGCCUGGUCCACCAGUAUCCAGCCACACCCCUUUCUGGCCACACCCCUCAGCAUCAAGCCCCACCUCUUAGCCCUGCCUUCUCAGAGCCAAGCAAGUCUCCCAAAGGCAGGAAGGUAGCUGGGUAGUCCCUCCCAGGACCACCCUGACUCAACACCACAACACCACAUAGCCAACCCACUAUUCCUGGUAUUUAAGCAGCUAUGAUUACCUGAAUAUUCCUCCCUCCCCUGCAUCUAGCAGCCCCCAUACACAUAUACACACACAUGCAUACAUGCAUGCAUGCAUGCAUACAUACAUACAUACAUACAUACAUACAUACCACACACACACUUGGGACUUCUAGUGUGAUGGGCAGGUACAAGAAUGGGACAGAGGGAACAGCUGGCCCAGGAAUUUCCCAACCCCAACUGAGCUCAAGCAAAACUAGUUAAAUCAGUGGAUAAAAUAAAGGCACUGACUGGCCACAGAGGCAUCUGGACCCUGCAGAGGAACUAGGCUUCUAACCUGAUCUAGGACACUGCUGUCCCGGCUUUACUCACUCAGCCUCCGGAGUGCAGCCCUACUCCAGUCACACCCACAGCCUCAUCUUCCUGCCAAGCCAUAACAGUGAAUAGCAGCUGGGUGUCCUUCGGGAAUAAGAAGGAAGCACUGGGAAGAACAGAUGCCCAGGACAGAAGGGCCUUCAAACAAUAAGGCCCCUCCUCCUGGAACAUGAGGACACCAAGGGUAGCACCUGUAAGUGUAAAGAACCAUAGCAGAUACUAGCAACCGUGUUGAUGUCCAUGAUCUGUGCUGCCACCAGCUACUGUGGGCAGGGAGGUGUCUAUAGACUUAUAAGCUGGGAAGGAGAGACACUGAAGACAUUCUGUGCCAACCUCUCACCAAAAAAGAAAUAG
rnacentral:lncRNA from 1 species